AGGGCAUCUCUCUGUUCACUCCAAGGGUUUUAGUGUUUCACGGCAAAGGGUUUCCGCCCUUCACCACUGCCGUCCGCCGCAACCUCCAUAGGUCAGGAAAUCAGCAGCAACCUCCAUAGGUACGUUGGGAAGGGAGGAAAUCGCAACUCCAACAGGUUAAUUUCUACUGAAGGGCUACUGAAGGUCAGCGACCACCGGGAAGGGUUUCUUUGGGUCAGGAAGUCAGCAGCAACCUCCAUAGGUACGCUGGGGAUGGAGGAAAUCGCAACUUCGGUAGGUUAAUUUCUACCGAAGGUCAGCGACCGCCCGGAAGGGUUUCUCUGGGUCAGGAAAUCAGUAGCAACCUCCAUAGAGUGGACUUCCAUUGGUUCAAGCACUAGAUUUUGAGGUUGAGGCUGUUUAAAUGUAGAUUUUGGUUCAGGUUUUGCCGGUGUAACUAUUUCUAUAGUUUCCUGAGAACACCUGCAUUGCAUUGAACUGUUCAACUUUGGGGAAUUUUCUAACUUCAUUCAUUCUCUUGAAGGCAGUAUACAGGUCUACAGAAAUAUCUGUGAUAAUACUGACUUCGUGUACUAGCAAAGCUGAAUCUGAUGGCUAUCAUACUGGGCUAACUUCAGUAUUUUAUCCAAGUUAGAAGCAUAAUUCCCAAAAGCAUCACCUUGUUGUGUAUCUUGUUGAUGCAAACUGAUAGCUGCCACAGUGCUGGCUAGUGCAAUUCUAGCCUACAGUAUCAAUGCUCAAUUAUGACAAUACUUUCCAGCAAUUACCUUGUUCUGCAAUUCUGUAUUCUCUUAACAAAUGAGAUUUAGGUUCUUACAGAGUUCCAUGUUUUAUUGAUGAACAAGACUUCCCUGCAUUGGACAAGAGUCUUAUAUUCAGCAUAAGCAUAAGUACAAUGUAGAAUAGAUCAUUCCGGCUCACUUCAAGUUGAUUCUCCAGAUUUGUCAGAUCUUUGAUACUUAGUCCAAAAAGUUCUUUUCCCAAAAGCUGCCUGCAUUUAUGUGAAACAAAGAACUGAUGGCUCAAAUAGACGGUAGGAUGAAGUUUAGGAAAACGAAGGUGGGUUUUGUUAAGUAUUUAUCAGCUAAACAAGAAUCUCCUAAACAUGAACAAGAAGAUGAUUCUACAGAAGAUCAAAGUAAUGUCAAAGAAUUCGUUGAUAUAACUUCAAUUCGGCAUUCAGUGAGGACAGCUAAAAAACAUUCAAUGAAAUAGUCUCUAUCAUUGUCUCUCUUCUUGUCCAUAUAUAUGACGAAGUGGAAGGAGUUCUUCCCCAAAAAAAAAGACUUGAAGUACUCACCAUACUUUGACAGACAGUGUAUUUGCUAUCCUUCCUCUGAAGCUUUGUGAAGAUGCGAUUAUUUAGCAUCUAUAAUGCAUAGCCAAGAAUUUGGUGCAUUUAGUGAACUAUUUCUCCAAUUCCAUCUUGUUGGGUUGGUUGAAUUGUGAGUCUUUAGUCUUUACAAAUUGUAUGAAACAUUUCAUUUUGGUAGUGAUGAUGAAGUUUUUUAAUAUA